rnacentral:rRNA from 1 species
GAAGGGUGCAAGCGUUACUCGGAAUUACUGGGCGUAAAGCGUGCGUAGGUGGUUCGUUAAGUCUGUCGUGAAAGCCCCGGGCUCAACCUGGGAAUGGCGAUGGAUACUGGCGGGCUAGAGUGCGGUAGAGGGUGGUGGAAUUCCCGGUGUAGCAGUGAAAUGCGUAGAGAUCGGGAGGAACAUCAGUUGCGAAGGCGGCCACCUGGACCAGCACUGACACUGAGGCACGAAAGCGUGGGGAGCAAACAGGAUUAGAUACCCUGGUAGUCCACGCCCUAAACGAUGCGAACUGGACGUUGGGAGCAACUAGGCUCUCAGUGUCGAAGCUAACGCGUUAAGUUCGCCGCCUGGGGAGUACGGUCGCAAGACUG